rnacentral:rRNA from 1 species
GGAAUAUUGGACAAUGGGCGAAAGCCUGAUCCAGCCAUGCCGCGUGAGUGAAGAAGGCCCUCGGGGUGUAAAGCUCUGUCAUGAGGGAAGAACGGCGCGGGUGGCCCCGAGUAUGACGGUACCUCAGGAGGAAGCCCCGGCUAACUACGUGCCAGCAGCCGCGGUAAUACGAAGGGGGCAAGCGUUGUCCGGAAUUAUUGGGCGUAAAGCGCGCGCAGGUGGUGAUUUAAGUCUGAUGUGAAAGCCCACGGCUCAACCGUGGAGGGUCAUUGGAAACUGGAUCACUUGAGUGCAGGAGAGGAAAGUGGAAUUCCACGUGUAGCGGUGAAAUGCGUAGAGAUGUGGAGGAACACCAGUGGCGAAGGCGACUUUCUGGCCUGUAACUGACACUGAGGCGCGAAAGCGUGGGGAGCAAA